AUAUCAUGUCAUGUACCUUCAAAGUGCUGUGGAAGGAUAUACGCGUAAGAACGAAUGCUCAACGGACGAGUAGCGGCGCGAUUUUAGAUUUAUUUGGAACGUAUAUCUGGAAUCACGUGGUCGAGUGACGGGAGUAAUGGUCGGCUAACGACUUGCCACUCUUUUGAAGUUUAAAAUUUGAUAGUGAACGUUCGGAUAGGAAAUGUUCAUCGGGAACACCGUAUGUUUAAAGUAGAAGCUAUUUUCGUUUCGUUUUGUAUCCGCGUGCUAGAGACUCGAAACUGUCCACUGAAAUUUAUGAUGCUGUGCGUCGCACAUAUAAACACACACGGGAAUAUGUACUUAGACACGGUGGCAAUGGCUUUUAAAGGGAAUAGGGCGACUCGAUCGCUGAGGAGAGGUCGCCUAAACCGGAAAACCGGGGAACGAUUACGAGUGUGUAAAUAGGUAUUGCUCCGUUCGAGGCCAGUUUGCUUUCUCGUCAGAACGAAACUAACGACGCGUUAUCGUCGUACAGCUGAAAGUGCUCGUGUGUACCUUGGCAGCCAGAAGUGAUAACCGCGUUGUUAGCUGCAAAAUAAGCCGCGUGACAAACACACGCUCAACGAUAGCGACGAUAAGAAACGUUCUACAACGAUCAACCACGAGUUUGAUGCACUACGUGGCGGACGAUAACCUUGAUAAACUGAUCCAUAAAUCAACUGAUAACUACAAAAUCGGUGAAACGAAUUCCAAUACUUUCAAAGACAUUUCAGAAUCACUCGUUCCUUUAUAUCUUCUCUGCGACGUUCAUUUUAUCGAAAUACCUCCACUAGCAAAAUGAACGGACGCUGUUUUAAAAAAAGUCGAAAGAUCUGAAAUUUUGCUCCAAUCGAUAUAACCAAGAUUCCAAUACGAGCCUCGAUCGCCUAAUAUGAUCUCAACACUUCCAAUUUCCUCCAAAAAUCACGACGCUUUUCCUCCAGUCACGAGCAUAUAAUCGCAGCGUGAAGAGCGCGUGACGCGUGCUGGCUACAUUACAAAGUCCUUCUGCUCCCCACUACCACGCGGUAUUUCUCGCGCAUCCCCUCCACCGACGAUAUUUCACCACCCCUACCAGGAACUCCGGCACAGGGCGAACAAGGACGAGGACGGACGAUCGUUUUCCGCACGAGACCGAGUGGAACGGAACACGUGCCGCGUCGGUGGGGGUGGAGGAGGAGCGAUAAAACUGGAGGGGAAACGUAGUGGCAGAACGACGAUAGGGGAAGUCGAGGACUCCCCACCAGUGGUUACCACUCCCCUUCCACCAACCAGGGGAGCGCGUUCUCUCCCACAUAACGGCGCUAACCGACGGGACCUUUGUUGCCCGCCACGCUCGAACGGUGUCCCGCUCGAGAGUUUGGACGCUGGUGCCGCCCAGCGGUGAUCGCAAGAACUUUCAAAGCGCGAUGGUGGGGACACCGCGGCUGGUAGUGAGGGAACCGUGGCGAUAUGGUGGGGGUAGAACGUAAAGGAAUUGGUGGGGAUGAAUGCAGAGAACGGAGCGAGUACGAGGACGGGGGCAUGUUGCUCUCAGGACGCGCAGAACGUCAGAGUGGGACGAAAAGGACGGGUGUCUCUCGCUUUCUCGCUCUCUGUAUCUCUUUCUCUCUUUCUUCGUUUCUUUCGAUCAUUUGUCUCUCUCGCUCACUCCUCGUGGAGAGGCAGAGAAAGAGAGGCCGAUGGCGGGGUGAGAGCCGGCUUACUACGCGGCGAAACGCUACCACGGCAUUCAGUCGUCAGCGAUCAGACCGCCGGGCAGUGUGAACCUUCCUGGGCAGUCUCUUCAUCUACUACACUCUUCCUCUGCUGUCCCUUCCUGAACAUGAAGCAGUAAUCAGCAUCUGGGAAAGCCGGAGUACAGCUUCCGUGAUCGGAUUUGCCUGAUCCGUUCUACGAUGGUCGUAGACUACCACGAUCUUGAAGAAACAUCACGCGUAAGGGAACCAUUGUAGAAGAAUUUACGCGAGAAAUUGCAUCCAGUGGUGAAAGAGAAGAUACACGAUUGGACACGCCAAACGAAUUGGAGAAGGUUCAAGGAGACAGACUUGGUCUCGCACGAUUCCAACUCUGUCUCUUUGAAUCUAUCCUGAUACGAGAUUCGUUGCAACCGGUGACAAGCAAUCGAACAAUCCAAGUCUUCGAGAACGCUCGGCAGUCGUUCGAUAGCCGUACUCGAAGCUAACAGAUGUUCAAGAAGAUCUUACUAAAUAAACGGUUGUCGCGACUGAAAUCACCAGAGACGAUCAUUGUGGGAGCAUUUAAAAUCGCAAAGAAUUCCAGAGGACGUUGGAUAUCGAGAAGUCGUUUCGACAACGCUCGAAGAUGAUACGCAACACUCUGUUCCAAACCGCAAGAUUCUAAAUCCCAGCGGAAGUCAAUGUUCGCAAUGAAGUUUCGUUAUUCGAAAUUUCGACAUUCGGCGAGUGAACCAAAAGAAAAAGAAACAAAUUAUCCCUUCGUAGUGAGAUUGUUGGGAAGACACGUAGGGCUCGUUCGAACGGUUUGUGCUCGGCCUCGCGUCGAGCCACGUGGUGUUCCGAAUCGCGCGAACGAUCUGCGCUUGAUAAUCUUCGGCACGUAUACGUUCACUUUGCGAAACCGCGGCCCGAAAGAAAGGUGAAAACGAUGGCGAAUCGACGAGCACGACGAGCCGUCGCAAUUCCGAAGAUCGGUGAAGCCGUUCGAAAGUAGAAUUUCCUUCGUUGCUCGUCAGAUAUGUGGUGCCGUUCGAUUGUUACGUAACGAGCAUCGAAUAACGAGAAACCGUUCACGCAUUGGCGAGUCGUACGGCGAGAUUUUUGCACCGAACCGUUACUCCUAGUGCGGGAUAGUGUAAAUCUGUCGGGAAAGAUCAACCAUACACCGAGGAAGAAACAUAUGAAAAUGUGUGAUUAAAUUUAAAAUAAAGUAAAAGGCAAAGCAAAAAUAAUUGAGAAAAAGUGGAAGGAAUAGCAACACGAUGAUUCUUAUCGUCAACGAAAGUAGUUGAAGAGUACGAAGAAAACGUUACGCUUUACGGACGUGUUAGCAGCCGACGGCUCUUUCGCCAACAGAUCGUCACAAAUCACCGUUGAAGAACAAGUGAGGUGUGCUACGCUCGGUUGGAAGUGUGCUUGUUGCUUAGUGGCGGUAUUUGGUAAGGAUCCCCUUCCGUCAAAUUGACGGGAAAAUCGGAAGUGUCGAUUUCGAUCGCAGUGCACGAAUUCACGGUGAUGGAAUCGGUAAUGAAUUUUUCUUUGAAAAUGUCUAUGGUCACAGUGAAGUGGUCCGUGAUUUAUAUUUUCUUUAAACGUUUCGUUCAAUUUGAAUUUUCAGUCGCACAUACUUAAUAUGAUAUAUAUAUAAAUAAUCGAUAUAAUAUUUCAAGUUCUAAGAGUAAUGUAGAAAAAUCAUACGUUUGAUCGACGAAUUUUAAAGGAGUGCUUUCUAACGGCCGGAUUGCGUAAAAUUUGAAAAAAUACCUGGUAUCUACAAAACCGUGAGCGGUCUACGGUUAAAAAGUUUCCCCAUAAAUUCGUCACUGUCAGAGAAAUGAUAUACGCGGACUGAAAUCUCGUCGAAUUAUCUCGUUCCACUUAUCAGGGAAUACUUCCAAACAAACCACGGUCUGGCGGCCACGCCCCGCUCUAAAAAUCUCCCCUUUGAACAAACUACCAAAAAACAGGACGCACAGACACCCGGCUAUCUCGAAAAAAGUCCACUUAUCUCCAUUUACACUGCAUCAACGGAUUCUACAAAAAUCAUUGCUCCACCUCCCGCGGGCAAUAAAAGUAUCUACACUUCCGUUCCAACUACCCCCUAGACACCGUUCUCACCGUCGUCACACGGGAGGUCCCUAAUGACCAACCCAUACUUCUCUCUCUCUAAACUCUUCCACCAAACGUCCAACGUGUAACAAUAACAAGAAAGAACGAAAAGCAGACAUACAAGAGCUAUAAAUAUAAUAUAUUUUCAUUUUCUAAGAUACAUUGAAAUAUUUCCAGUUGUCUAUGUUUUUUUACCUUUCGAGUAAUGUUCUAUUAUACAGGCUACUACGAUUUAAUGACUGCAUAGUCUUAAUUGAACGGAGAAAAUGAAAGACGAUGCGAAGAUAUAAAAAGACCUCGACUCUGUAUAUACCAAAAACAUGUAUAUUUUUGAAAUUAAAAGUCAACGGAGACAAAUCAAUUUCAAAGAUGUAAAACAUGGUAGAAUUUAAUUUCAGCAGACGUAAAUGAAUCGGUGCGUUAAAAGUAAUCCGAAUAAAGAACCUACUAUACCUAAUUAUGAGAGAGUUAGGAACCAGAGUGAGACAGAUUAACUCUUCCCGGGUUAACGGGUUUAUUAUGUUUAUGAAAAUAUGAAUUUGCAUAAACAACCGUUCCUUAUCCUUCGAACGCACGAAUUAAUUAUCGAAUCAGGUAUUCUAUAUCUCGAAUCCAUUAUCUCUUCUCGUGAUCCCCAGAAAUUCUCAUCCAUUCAGCCCCCUGGCGGCACCACUGGUACCAUUUAAAAAGAAGAAUGUCCUAUAAGAAUACUCUAAAAUGAACGAAAGACAGGCAACAGAGAGGAUACUAAAAGAAAGAAACAAAAAAAAAAUAAAUAAAUAAAUAAAAGGAAGUGUAAAGAAAAGGGAAGAUGUUUUCGCGCUUCGAGGGGUGGUUGGGAAGGGUCUGUUACGUCACCGAGAGGAGCGAGGCGCCGAAGAAUCCAGCAAGACGAUACGGCCCUGCCCUUCGCCGGGCAGAUAGGGUAUAAUCAUGGCGAGUUUCGUAUCUCGAAGGGGCACACGGGAAGAUGGUCCAACAUCUGCCGCUGCAGGGAAUCUCUGCCCACAUGCUGGCCGUCGUGCACGUACGUACGCACGCACACGCGCAAAAAGUGACAUAGCUACACGCUGGGACGUCAUGUAAAUUCAUUCGAAACACAUGGCAGGGCCGAGGCGGCGUUUUUCUCGUGCGCGCAAAAGGGUUCUUCCACGGUGGAAUCCGAGGAGCGCCGCACGGGGGGCUCCGGGUAAAAAAGGCAGACGAUAACUUCGACUUUUAGACAAGGACCAAUCUCUCUCUCUCUCUCUUUCUCUUUCUCUUUCUCCUUACCUUCUCUUUCGCCUUCUCGACCUCUGUCUCUGUUACGAGGGACCACCGGCUCGAAUGAGUCCACUGGUUAGCCGCUUCUUUUUUAUUUAAUCGCCUCGAUCAUCCAGUGCUCGGGGUGUCCGAUGCUUUGCAAUUUCGGCUUAGCGAAAAUUUAGAGGGUAAAAGCUUCUCUUGAGAUAUGAUUCACCUUGGAGGGGUGGUGGCUAUUGGAUUUUCUAUCGGGGUAUUAUUUAUGAGAAUCCCGGUAUUGUUCUAAAAAUAUGGCGAGAAAUUGUGGAAACUAUUUUUACGAAUUCUGUAGGCAAGUAAUAAAUCAAGGAUGUGUUGGAUUAAAUAGGUCAAAGUUCGAAUCUGAUUUAUAGGAUUGUUUAUAGCGAGCAUGAAAAUACAGCAUCUAAUAGAUAUAACUAAAAUCAAUCGCGCGAACGCUGUUGAAGGUGUAUUUACGCGAGAAGUAUUUUUGGAACGAUUUCAAACAGAGUACUAAUCAUAAAUAAGUAUGGAAGACGUAUUAAUCGGAGCUAGCGACGAACGUUUUCCCUUUCUGAUUAGAUUUUUAAUAAACGUCAGACGAUCUUCUCUAAUUAACUUACUAUUAAAAGUAAGCACACGAUACAAUCAUUAAAUCGAAUAGUGUGCAAUUAUAUGUACAAGUAUUAAGACAAUUAGCUUCAACGAAUUAUACAUCUCGAUAUCAAACUCAUUUCUUAAAAAAUCCACUAGAAAUCAUAAUAGAAUCCAGUAGAAAUCGUAACAAGAUCUAACGAAAAAUCUAAUUGGUCUAUCCAGUGAUUUUUUUUUAACGAGUCUUCGAUCUGAUUGUUCCGCGACGUUAAAAGAAGAAAUAAGGGAAACCUAAUAAAAAAAGACCUAAUAAAAAAUAGAAUCACCGAUGUAAAACGCAAAGAAAGGAGCAAGUAAACCAACAAGGAAUAAAAAUACACCGGCUCGAAAUAACAGGGCAUUCGGGUAACGAGUGUUCCCUCGUCUAACGAGGGUUCCGUGGAAAUCGUUAACGGGGUAAUUCUCGCGUUCCGCGGCUAAUUACACGCCGAAACCAUGAAAAUUCCACCGCUCUUGAUUCAUUAUGCUGCCACGAAGACAAUAAUGGAUCGCCUUUUGUUUUCGAUUCGUCAAGUUCAAAACCGGGGGAAUCUCGAUCCGGCUACGAGAUAGGCUGGCUCGUUGAAACGUUAACCGCUGCGCCGGAAAACCGCGGCAAGCGAAAAAAAAAGAGAACCAGAGGUUAGAUAGACAGAACACAGGAGAACGAUGGAAAAGAAGGAAAAAGAUACACGAACAACGUGUACAGGGAGAAGGACUGUGUGAUGAAGGGGGAGAGGAGAGAGAGAGAGAGAGAGAGAGGGAAAGAGAGAAAAAGGAAGAGAGACAGGGAAAAUAGGAGUAAGCUCGCCGCGCGCGGAAUUGCAGAACUGCCUUUAAUUAAAGCCAUCAAGCUAGUUGAACAAUUAUCAUUAAUUAUGGACGUUGCUUGGCCGCUCACACGAGCCGUCCUCGUCGUCGUGGCUACCUAGAGAGAACGGUUUCACUUCGUUCGCGUGCACGGCGUCAAUUUGAAAAGAGGUGGUUGUAAGAGGAAAGAGGGAACGAGAAAGGGAAAAAGAAGAAGAGAGAUAAAAAAUGAAUACGCGGGAGAUGGGGAAGGAAAGGGAAAGAAGUACACACGGCCCUGCCCUCAUGAUGUAUUUUCAUCGACGCUCUACUUUGUAGCGUCUUCCUCCUCUUCUUUUUCUUCUUCCCCGCUCUCUCCUCGCUUUUUCCUUUACCUGUUAGUCUGAGUAACUGAUUUAAGAGGUACAGUCCAAUUUGAGAUAGCUAGCAAGACGAUUUUUACCGCUAAUUAAAGGUGCGUUAAUUAAAAAAGUACAGCCCCUGGUUUCAUGCUCGAAUCGGCCUUUGAUCGCUUAUAAAUCGUUGGAUCAUUAGCCAGCUCGGUUGCUCGCGGACGAAGAAAACCCUUUUGCGGUUCGUGCGCGACGAUCAAACGCGGGAAGAAUAGACGAUUCUUCUUUGAUUCUCUCUUUAAGCGGUGUGAAACAAUAGUACGUACGGAGAAUGGGGAAGAACGAGAAGAAGGGGAGAAGAAUAUUCCAUCGGAAUUCAUGGCCUUGAGAAAUACGAUUGUUCAAAGGCGUUUAAAAUUCUUUGAGAUUAGGGUUGAGAAAUCGUCGACGGUAGAUUCUUUCCUCGAACGACGAGAAGCCAAGCGUAAAAAAACAUGGUGUCAUAAUAAAAAUGACGAUUUACGUUCUAUGUCAUUCUUAUAAAAUUGGGGUCAAUGAUUUCAAUGAUCUACGUACUUCGGACACGUUUUCUCGCAUCUUAACGACGUGAAAUAUCACUGAAGAAUGUUAAUCUGAUGUUUUCAAAGCUAUACAUAUAUUUCGAGUUUGUCUUGCCACAUUCGAAAUAAAGAAUGGAGUGGAUUCUAUUCGAUAGGAGUUAUUGUAGCAUCUGCUUAUUGUUAUAUUUUAUAAGAUUCUGACUGAACGAAGCUUCUCUAUUGUUUGAACAUAAUUUCAUUCGUUGGAUUAGGAUGUGAAAAAUUUUCUUGGAUUUUCGAAUCUUUAUGUGUUAGGUUGGUUACUUUGGUUAGUUCGAAAUCAUUCUAAAGUUAAUAUACAAUGUUAGUUUUCAUGGUAUCAUAUUUAUCUUCAUAGUUAGCCGUGUUAUUUUUAUAGCUAACUAAAAACAGAAAUAGAAUAUAGAUAUCCUAUUUUGCAACAGCAUAGCGCAAUUCUUCUUCUAUUUCUAGCUCUAAACCGUAAAGAUAAACUUGUCCUAAUCCAUUAAGCGAUAAUCACAGUCAUAAAAAAGCUGAAACAACACGCUAGACAAAGUUUUCUCCUUCGAUAGUAUCUCACUGUUUAUCAUCGUUCUCUGUGUCUAUAAUAAAUAGAUUUAGACAUACACCAUUAUGUUCAUGUAUAGUCUUUAACCUUUACUCGAUGCUAGGGUAAAGUAUCAAUUUACUUUUCCUUCGAACGUCACCCAGAGAAUAUAAAAUGAAGUAUCUACAUUUACCCAUUAUGCCAACUAGUCUUCAACGAUCGUUAACUUGGCUUAAAAACACCUUACUCUUGAAAAUAAAUCUUCCUUUGUCCGACUAUAGUUAUUUUACUUCUCUUUCUUAUAUUUGAGUGCAUUAAUUGAAAAGAAAUGGUAUAAGCGAACAAAUUUUUUGAUUAACUUAAUUCCAAGUAAACUAUGAGCGAAGAUAAACUUUAAUAGAAAAAUUCGUAUACUUCUCAUUACUUCAUUCACGAAAUUACGAUCAACAACAUAAAUUAUGCUGCUACAGGAGAAAAAUUGAGAAAAUAAACUGCCAAUGAGAAUAUUAAAAGAAAGCAAAGAUACUUGAAGUGAAUCUAACUUCGAAUUUAAUUGAAAUCAGUUUGUUUGGAAUUCAGAAAUCCAGAGGAAAAACGUAUAGGUGAUAACAUUUUUAAUUUAAGAUAAAUUCUCUAGAUACCUAAGCAUACAUAUUGGAAUAAUCUAAAAAUAAAAAAUCUACAUGUGUUGAACACUACCGUACGCACUUAUAAAUCUUUAAAAACUCAGAAAAAAAUCCUCUAAAUAAGCAUAGAUAUCACAUAUUAACAUUUCCCCCUAUUUAUCUCUUUUUACGAAAAGAUAUAGGUAUGUCAUUUUUCCUUGGUAGAAUUCUUUAUUAACAGUACAUUUCUCCAAUAAUCAGAGAUUAAAACUACAGAUACUUUCGUUUCCUAAACACACCCAGGGAAUAGCCACGAUUUCUAAAAAGAAAGAUAAGAGACGGGACGAAAAACAAGCUUCCCUAACAGAGAGAAGUCCCUAAAAAACAGGCUCGGUGGCUGACCACGGCUAAUCUUCUCGCGCCCCAUAAUUAAUUACGCGUUAUCUGGAACAGGUCCCGAUUACGGCGUGUGUCUUAACGGGACAAUGGUGAACGGGGUCCCCGAUAAUGGGCCAGAUAGCGUGUCCUUAUUAGGAAAAAUUUAAGGUUCGAGCAGCGUGUUUACGAGCCGGCCCGGCGUUCGGCCCGCGCCAACGACAGAAACCGAGCCAUAUUUCUCCAUGAAAUUUAACGAACCUCUGGCGCAAUGGGACACCAUUAAAAAAUUCCUCAGCGUCAUAUGCCAUCGUGCACGCAACGCCGAUAAACGCCGGCGGGCGAACGCAGGCCGACUACAGAGUAAACGAACAGGAAUGAUAAUAUUACCAGGCGUUUCACGCAAGCGCCUUUGCAAAAGUGCCAUCGGUGAAAAAAACUAAUUUAUUGGACUCGUAGCAUAAUUGUAAGCAGUACCGAUUUAUGAGGCCGUGUACGCGUGUCCCGUUCGAUACCUUGCACAUUGGACACGCUGCGUGAAAGAGCUCCCGCUACGAAGUUUCGCGGUAAUUUUCUGUUUUGAUAUCCAUGUUUUGAUUCUUUUCUUUUGUUGGGAACUUCCAUAGGAUAGUAGGAAUGGCAUGUUUGGAGUUAUAGUCAGGAACGUCGAGAAUUCUAGUUUAGUGCUUUGACAAAUUUGGGUUCAACGACGUGGUUACUAUUUGUUACGAAAGAUGUCUAUUAUUUGUUAAUCGGUAAUUUUUCUUAAAGUUGUAAGAAAAUCGCGAGAUUCUAAGUAUUAUUAAUACUGCACUUAGAUUUUUAAGAAAAGUAUACAAAAUUUAAUUUUGCUCGUGAUUGAUCCUAUAUAUAAAGAUUCGAAAUAUAUCGACCAAUAUCAAGAAAAGGCAAGAACACUGUUUCUUGUAUAAAAUAGUUCAUUCUCCAUAGAUCCACCAUUUUUCUGUGAAUAUUAUUUUUGUUCUUACCAUUAUAAUAAAAAUUUCAAAGAAAUUAUGUUGAAAAAGAUCAGAAAAAUAUUUCUUAUAGCAAAUAGUUUCUCUAUAAAUCCAUUAUUCCGCUAUAAAUAUCAAUAACCUUCUUCGAUAAUGAAGAGAUAAAGAUACAUCUGUAUUAUGACAGGAUAUAACAUUUCCUAAAAUAUUCAUGAAAAUUAUUAUUUUAGAUCUGCCUCGAUAUAAACGAAGAACGUAAAUUUUCGUAACAUAGUCGGACGGACGUUUCAAUUAUUUAAGCUGACAACGAGCGCACUCGGCCGAAAGAGUUGGGAAACUCGAAAGUGCAUUUCGUGCACGUAACGAACUUAAAUAGACGGAUCGUGUGCACCGGUUGGCCCGCGAGUAUUAUCAGAUCAAUAAUUGCCAAGGAGGGCCGAACUUGCCGAACUUCGGGCCGCGUUUCAAGCUAAUUCCUGCCUAUCAGACCCGUGUCUGUCACCCGUAGCCUUCUUGGAAGGAAAAAACGAGAAGUUGGUUUCGCGUCACGGGGGAAAAUACGGUUGCCAUGUACCUAGCGAGACGAACCUCGGGAAUUAAAAUCAUGAAAAAUAAAGAUUCCAGAUGGAUUGAAAAGAAACAUUUAAAUAGUGAAACUACGUAAAAUAUUUAAAGUUCGAGUGAAAAAGUCGAGAAAUUUGAGGAGUAUAAAAGAAUCAUCAAAGCUGCGAAAUCGGUGCAGCUUGUAUGUAAUCAAAAUUCAUGUUAAAAAAUUUCUACAAACAUAUUUCGACAUAUAUAUUUCUAUAAAUUCUAUGUCAAUUAAAAAACGAUGAUAUCAAACCCAUAUAAGGGCAUUCUUUUUAAGAGGAAAAACACGCAUUAUUUUAAAUUUAUGAAACACUAAUUUCCUAUCUUACGAUGAGCUUCGGAUAACGUACAUUCACUAUAGCUCCAUUACCAAGUAAAUUAUUUCAUCCUCUGUGCAUCGUACCGAGUACAUUACAAACGUUAAAUGAAUAUUUUGUGCAUUCUUGUAUACUAUAUAUAUUCUAUAUAAUUUUACACGUUUCAAUAUUCCACGUUCGCAUGAACAUCAGCAGUUUAUUCAUUAUGCUUACGCGUAAAUAAGAAGCGAAGAAAAAAAACGAAUAUUUCGUAAAUGAAAUAAUUACUACAAGUCUGCGACUUAUUAUCCAGAAGGAAAUUCUUCGCGAAGUUAAAUUAUAAUCUCCAUUCGAACCACCGAAGCUUAUUGACUAUACAUUGAACAAAAACUCGAAGUACCUACGUCGAUGAAUAUGAAGGUAUAAUCUCUCAGCGAAAAAAUACUGGCAAAGCGCAACACAAAGGUACAAAAAAACGACCUCCCGCGUUAAAGGGGUUAAAAGGGACGGGCAGCACGUAUUUCUACGAUCGUGCCGGGCAACAGGAGGAGCAAAAUCGACGACGUUUCGCGCAUAAUUAAGCAGUUCUUGCGGGCGUAUUUCAGGGCCGCGGUGACGUCUCUAUCCCAUGCGGCUCGCUCAUAUCGCGGCGUUUACUCGGAUUUACAUCGCGCAUACAUAUGUAUGGAAGAAACUACGAUUUGUAUCGUCACGUUGGCCAAUUAAGGGGCCGGGGUCGUUAACGAAGAGAAUAAUUAGAAAGCGUUGGCAAGCCGACCGGUGCGGUGGACGACGUGGUGCACGUCCACCUCGCUUUUCAGCUUCUUUUUACUUUCUCAGCUUGGCUUGGCAUCGCCGCGAGCCACGUUGGUACAUGAAAGAAAGAAAGGAAGAAAAAAUCGUAGAGAAAACGAGCGAGAAAUGUAAGGGGGAGGGGAAAUAAGAAUGAAACGAAAAAUUCGCGCUCAGGUUCUAUAGGUGGUGUAAAGACACGGGGAAUUAAUAUGUCUACCACGUGUAUUUGCAUUCGAAAUGCCUGAAUAUGAAAUGGACGCGCCUCCAGGCAGUCAUGGAAUAUCCGAGAAACGGGCAAUUAAAAGGGGGUAAUUGGAUAGAUUCCUUUUCGUAGGACCACCCAGUGUAUAUGUGUAUUAUCCGCCGUUUCUUUCCGCGAGUAUAAACUGUUAUAGAUGUUUGAAUGCUUCACAAAACAAAUUAAUGUAAUACAAUUUAGACCUGCGAUCUUAUCUGGGCAAUCAUAUGCAGUUAACACACAUUGAUGAAAAUAAUGGAUAAUAUUAAGUAGCGUAAAUAUAAUACCGAUAAUUCAAGAUCAAUGAAAAUUGAUUUUGCAGGAACAACUGAGUCGAGUAACUUUAAGUGGGUUUGCUCACUGUUGGGAUCUUAGAACGAUUAAAAUACGUGUGUUCAUCUAUGCUCUAAAACUUUACAGAAAUAUUGUGAAAUGCCUAGUGAAAUGCUAUGCGUUCAAUAAUGUUAAAUCAUAGAACUGUUAUUAUGAAACCUUAUAGGAAUAUUUUGUUACGUGACAAGCAUUUUGUCUUUAGAUUUCUGAGUGUUCGAAUUAUAAGUCAGAUUAAAAAGAAUCUUUUAGAUACAGAAAGACUCAUAAGGUAAUACAAUUAGUCAUAUUUAAAUAAUAACUAUGUAUAGUAACAAUGGGUAAUUUAACAUUACUGGUCCGACAACUCCUGACAACAAGAGGGUAGUGAAAAUUAUUUCUAAUUAUUAAUUCGUCACUGAUAAUACGUAUUCUUUGGUACCACUCGCAUACUGUUAUUACAAAUCGAUCAAAGUGUUCGGACACUUAUGCGCAAUACUGCUUGAGAAUUUCUAAAUGUCUAGAAAGACAAUUCUUUAUGUAUUAUGUAUAAUUUGGUUCGAUUGGCGAUGAAAGAUAUAUACGAAUUGUAACGACGAGUUUAUUAUAAUAUUUUAGAAGGGUAGGAAAUUAUUACUUCAGAGUCUGCUUUACGAGUUAUUUCUUUGUUCAGACUCCCGGAGAUUUUAAUUUUGAUUGGUUCGCGCCGUGAUGGUUAAUUACUUCCUCGAGAAGGAUUUUAAUUAGUUAUGGACCUCUUUCGACGGAUACAAUUUCAUAGUUUCUUCCCUUCGAAUCUAAUCAGAAUCUAAUUUACCCAGUCUAUUACAUCCCCUGACAUCAAACUGUGAUUUUCUAACAAACGCCAGUUGCUUGACUGAUUAAUAUCACUUUUUACAUGUCUUCGAGUUCAUUUAUAGCUUUACGUUAUAAAAUAAUUAACUAUAUACGCAGAACGUGUUAUGUAAAAGAUAUUACAAUAUAUAUAAAACUACGAAGGCUAUGUUAUAUGAAAUAUACCAAGCUUUUCACUUUUUGCUUAUUAUUCGAACAAUAUCAAAAAACAUCGCGAACAACAAACCUACGGCAGAAAAAUUGUAUGCAGUGUCGCGUGAAUAACAAUCAAAAUCCUUUGAUUUGUCCAAACCGAUUCUUCGAAUAAAUCAUUCUAAAGAGGAGACAAUUACACUUGUGGAUUCAUCAAUAAUCGAUUGCAAUGUAAAUCGAUGCUUGUUAUUUGUGAUCGGGAAAAAUUACCCGUCAUUAAUUCUCACCUAGGUCUUUCAAACCUAUCAUCAGAUAUUGUGUAAUGAAAUUGCGAUACAAUUGCAUUUUUUCUCCAAAACAUCUACUCUCAAAUAUACACACGUAUACUACCAUUUUUAAGCAUAUGGAGAUUUGAGACGAUUUUUAUUAAUGAUACAUGGAUUUUAACGAAACAUGGAUUUUAUUAUUGCUGAUAUUAAUCACCAUAGCCUGUCAUUUCUAACUUGAUAAAACAUAUCCUUUAAGAAAACGCGCUGAGGACAAUUAAAAGCCAAAAUACCAUAUCAUUUGACACAUACAGACGCAAUCUUUUACAUUGCUUUACGAUAGCUUUAACAAACCUUGUAUUCGUCCUGAAUUUAGUAAUUUCAUAAUUAAAUUACAUUCUAUCCAAAAUAAUUUCUGUUCACAUAAUUUUGAGCGGUACUGUACACACAAUGGAUUUUUCUGCUCCAAAUACUAAAAUACCAUCGAUCAGAUUCACGACUGUUGCUCGACUACACGCGACUUUACAAAAAAAAGCCAGCAUGCACGGCGAAUUAAUCGUCUCGAUGGUCGAUUCGCGGGCCGGGGAUCGGAUUUGUUGUUUUCACCGGUGGUGCAGAUUUUUUUCCCUGCCGGAGACACGUUCGCGAAUUAAUGGUGAUGGUAGUAGUCGAGUGGCGGUAGCGGGGAGGGAAUCAAGCGAGGGGAAAAAAUUUGAUAAACCGCGCCUCUGCGGUGGCUUUUUUCCCUCUACUCUGUGCCUCUCUCUGUAAACCGGCCAGUUGAUAUUUGCCAUGAAAAUCGUUCCGCAUGUCGGCAAACAGAACGCCACCAUGCGUUGAAUCGCCUGAAAAUAUAUUCCGAUUGGUCGAUCGGUGUUUCCCGAAAUCGCGACCCGAUAAAGAGCAGCGGUGGAACGAAAACGGCGAGGGGAGAGGAAAAGAACAAAACAGAAAAAAAGAAAAAUAUGCGAACACCGACACGAUUUUCGGAGGCUGUAAAAAACACGUGUUUGCACGAGGAGCCGCGGUUGGGCCCCGAUCAGAUGGCUACAGGACUGAUUUGCAUGCGACCUUUGCCUCCAGGUGUUCCAGAAUUUACAUACGAAAGGGUGGCGCUCACAGAUUUCUCCCCCUCCUGGAUCCCAAUUUCUUUCUCUUUCUCUCUUCUCCGUUUCUCUUCUCUCGUUUCGUCUCCCUCUGUACCUCUAUCUUCCGCUUUCAUUCUCGUAUUCUCUCUCUUGUUGCCUCCACGACGGCUCUGUUCAACCCCCGGUGUACGCAUUUAUGGGUUACUGGCUCAGCGUGUCGCGUCGUUAACUCGCCGUUAAAUUUUCGUUAACAUCGCUCUUUAACCGGUAAGCAUUCGCCGGCUGCAUGGAAAUUACGAACGACGGAAAUUAAUAGCAAGCUUGGUACAAUGUUUCCACAUCGAUGUUCAUUAUACAUGUAGAGUAAAAAGUAAAUUUGCGUUGAUGUUUUUACAUGCGGAACAUUAUGCAAGUAAUGUUCUCAAUGAUAUAGUUGGAUGAGACAGUAUUUGCCAAGUCAUUGAUAUUCAACAUAACGCUGCAUACAGAAUCGAAAUUCUUAAAUGCAUUAAAGAUGUCCGAUUUGAGAAAAUUAUAUUUGGCCAACUAUCGAAAAUCGAUUAUAAUACUGGUAGCCACUUGAUGUUCAAAGAUAUUCAAUUUGUGGAGAUGACACUUCUCCGUAAUCGAUUACUCGUUGAAUUUAGUUUCCGUCAAAUAUACAAUUGCAGAGAGCUUCGAACAUUUCUAUAUUUGUUGCACCAGUGUGUGACUCUGUACACAAGAGCAUAGAAGCUUCAGUUACUUGGAGAAAAAGAAAAAAAUACUCGAGAGCCGCGGCAAAUUUACACAAGCAAAUUUGAUCUAUCAAACGAACUACUUUGCUUCGAAGCAAAUAACUUCUCAUCGAUAUUCAUAUUUCGAUUGAAUUUCAAGAAUUCAAGUUACAUAAAGAAAGAAGAAAACAAAGCUAUUAGAUGUAAAAUAUAUUCGUGACAAACCGGCUGAGGCAAUAUUUUUUAUCGAAAAUGAUCCAACUGUAACCAGUCGCAAAAAAAUUCCUGCUCUCGGCUGAAACGAAGAAAACACACGCCGACGUAGGCGGAUUCCGCGAAUAGUUCGCGAGCGGAACGACGAUUGAACGACUGAAAGGCCGUUAUAAAUUCAAUCACGCGCACGCCGGGCCAGAAACGAGCAAACUGAAAAGAGUCCCAUGCAAUUACUUGUGAUUACGGAUCGGUAUCGCGCGCGAUCGAGGCCGCGGCGAAUAUCGUUCGCGUGGCACGUAACGAGCGUUUCCACGCGAGCCAUUGAUUUAUUUAUCUCGGAACGCGAACGUAGAUCGUGUUUAUCGUUCAAGAUUAUCCAUCUCACGUCGAGGCGGAAACCGUUUCCAGCUAAUAGCAUUAAUGUUUUGUGGACAAGUCGAGUGUUACUACGUUACUCAAACAAUAAACGUGCAACAAAGAAAGAAUGACUUUGAAAAAUUAGAUUCUUUAAGAGUGAAAGUUCUUCAAAAUUCUAUUAGAUCCUAGAAGAGUGGCGUUCAUUUACCUUGUUUAUCGUCUUCUUAUUUUUUUUUUUUAUCAAAGCGCCCGAUUCUCGGAAUAUCGAAUCGCGAUUUUUUCCGCGCUCGUCCCAGGAGUCCGAUUGCACAGUGCCACAAGUAAAUGACAGUCUUGUCACGAGACGGCUUGUUUUUCUUUAAAUUGUCGUUUUCUUGCCGACUGACAAUGAGGUAGUUGCAGUUCUUCGAAAUGCACAUUAAUCGCGUGCAAACAUGCUCCGAUUUCUUGCCUCUACUUUCUAAUUUACUUUUUCAAUCUGCAACUGGUUAUUCGAUGUAUCGGAAAAUUAUAUAGGGAAGCUUAAUGUGUACACUUGCGCGUCUCGUAAAUUCUUCUUUUUCUGAAUAUGGAAUUCGCGAUACGAGAGUAUAGAGUACUUAUUAGAUACGUGAAUGAAUGUUUGAUUAUAGUGGAUAAAUAAUUGUUUUAAAAGUACAGGGAUGGAUAAUGACCAUUCUUUCUAAUGAAUCACAGUGAACAAAUUUAGAAACGAAGGCGGAAAUAAUAUAGCGGUUAAGCCUGAAACAAUACCGAUUUCGACUACUGUCACUCUAACUUCAUGGAAGUUGUAAGAAGGAUUUUUCUACUUGGCGUGAUAUUACAAUGUCUAAUCGUGAAACAGCCUAUCCACUAAUUCAACAAGAAUAUUCAAAAUAUCGUCAUAUACUAGUAGCUCGAUGAACUUCUCGUGCAUCUAUAGAGAAAUAAUUAUUUUUCUUUUUAUCAUCCUGAUUCGCGAGGUCACGAGAUUCCAACGCAAAAUUCUUUUACAUCAGCUCUAUUCAUAAUCCCUCACCGAUAAGAAAAUAUUUUCUUCUGAACAACAAGUUCAGCAGCUGCAUCAGAAUUGCGCUUAUCGCAGUCCUCCUUUCUCCUCCUUCUCAGAAUCAUCCAAUCAACUCAAUCUUCCAUACAUAUAUGAAUCUUUAUAUGUUUCUGAAACAUUUCGAUUUUUCUUCCGUACAAAAAAUAAAAAAAGAAAAAAAAAAAUAAAUGAGCACAGAACAACAUGUUGUAAAUUUGCAGCAAAGUAUUCGCUAGAAUAUCGAAAGACAAAUCCCUAUUUAUAUUUCAUUCGUCAGUUUCGCUUAUAAAAAUCCAACUAGCGAAAACACUGGUAAACUAUUCGCAAUAUAUCCUCGCGCUAAAUAAUAACAACAAAUAUAAUUCUUCAGAGUAGUUAAACCUCUAUGUAUAUAUAUAUAUAUAUAUAUUUUCUUAUCAAAAACAUGAAAAGUUUAUAGUCGACCGAAACAAUUCAUAGAACGAUAUCUAUGUACAUAUAAAUGUGUCAUGUGAUUUUUGUCGGUUCAGUUUACCCCCAUCCUUUCCCCUCUUCCGUUCCCAGCUAAUCACUUAAUCUGCCCCGGAACCUCCCCGGUGUCAUUGCGCCUACGCGCGCGUAUGAUGGCGUGCGUGUGUAUGCGUGUUCCGCGAUGAUGAAGGAGAGGGCCGGCCGGCAGCCAUCUUGGCUGACGUCAACUCAUGCCGAGCACGCAACCGCGAAACACCGACUUCCUCGUUGCGAUAGCGCCUUACUUUUUUAUUGCUGCCUCUCUUUUCCUCUUCCCGACCCUCUCUGUUCCGCCACUUCUUUUACGUCCCCUCCGUCUACACACUAUGAGGUGUGCUCGUAUGUAUCGCGUACGUACACGUGUUUAGGUUGCGAAACGAAGCGAAACACCCCUCCCGCGAUAUCUAAAAUGGCGGAAUUUAAUGGACAAACGCUCGGCCGCUAUUCGUCAGUCGCUAUGAAAAUUAAGGUAGGCGGCGGUGGCGGCUGAUCUUUAUCGCGGUUCGUUCGGUUUCCCCGUCGUGAAAACGAUGAGAAAAUCGCGCGCUCCUCGCGUCACUGAGGAUCCGCCGCACCUGUUCAACGAGGAAAAACGGUACCGAAGAAUCUAGUUCCUUGAUUCCUAUUGGUCUUUGAAGGGUAUUUUAAUCGUCGACUUUUUGGUAUCGCCGGAAAAUGGACAAUGAUGGUUCGUGUGAAACAAUAGCACUAACAGUUUGAGUCUUUUAAUGUUAAUUUCUGAAUGAUUCCAGUAUCGUUAGAUCGUAGACGAUUUUGAUAAUUUGAGUUAAGUUUUAGUUUGGACGUUUGAUUUUAGGAUAUUUAAUCUCAACUUGCUUUGUAUAUUUUAAGGAAGAAAUGUUAUUGUUGGUCUCGAUGAGGUAACAUACAGAACAUAAAUUAAAAUAAAAUUAAAAUCGAAAGCAAAUUCAAUUUAUUGCCAAUCUAAGCUUUGUGGCGUAUCUAUGAGCCUACAGUACUAAUAGGAGAGUUAAAUCGAGGGUUAAAUACGGUUGACUAAUAAUUCGUUUAAUGUACCGUGUAAUAUUUGUUACGUAGCAUUCGCUAAAAUGAGCAUUUUCUACUGUAAACUGCGAGCACGUGGUGUCUGGCUAGGGAGGGCUGAAACCACUUUUAUUUCUAUCUACUUGUUAUUCCUCGCUGAAAUCUAUAUCACUUCGUGUAUUACUAUUUUAUCAAUUUGAUUCAAUCCUACAUCACCUUUAUUUUUACAUAUUAUGUUCUAAUAUUGUCUAUCGGUAUCUUUAAUCACAUAAACAAGAGUCAACUCGGUUCGUCUUAAUCGACGAUCUAUGAUAAAUUUUUGAUUAUGUAAGAAUUACACGCUCGUAGUGAAAUAUCUAUGAUAUUAAAAAACAUUGCAACUUUCUUUACGAUAAGAUAAUUCUUUAUUUUUCUUUCCAAACCCUAUCGUAAUUCAUCUUAAUCCGGAAUGAAGAAAACGGAUGAUGUAUCGACAAAUAUUUCCGUAAUGUCGAAGAACUUUCCUAAGAGCUACACUGUUUUGCCUGUUCUAAUAUCGUUGCAAACCAGAUGUUUAUAAUUCGUUGGUCAGCUUGUUUGUUAGUCGUGCUAACCAGAGAUGAUCCAGGUACAUACACGUCGAACGAACAAUGUGCAGAAUCUGGAAGUUGUCUACGUACAGGAAAAUGUAGAUAUGAAGUUGUUUCAGUAAACCGUGCUCCAAAUACAAUGAACAUUUUUUAAAAUUUUAUUCCAAUUUUUAACGUGCUCAUAGCUGACCUCAGAAAAAUAAAUUCUCUAACAAGUCUAUAUCUCACUAUUGCGUUAAUUAGUUAUCAUUUUUAAUAGAUAUAUGCAGUUGGUCGAAAUUUCCUUCAUUAGGAAUCUCAUCGUUUGUAAUAUCUUAAAAUUCGCAGACAACGUUGUUUGAGUUUCAUUUUCACUCUUAUACUUUAUCUUUAAUUAUAUUAAAAUUGUUACAUUCAUAAGCAAGACGAUAUCCUAUAUUAAGUUCUUAAUUAAAGGGUUCUAAAAGAGAGGACAACAUCACAAAAAAGUAGAAAGUAGCGUUCAAAUUAAUUCGCAGGAUAGAAAUACGCAAUCCAAGCAUUUCGGAUGUGUGGAAAUUAAAAUUCCUUGAUAACAAUCUACGAAUAAGCUCAAACCGUAUAUUAUUACAGAUUCUUUUAAUUAAGAGCCAAAGAACUGUAAUCAAGAAGAUUAACAUUCCAAUAAAGUCAAUGUGAACGCACACAUUAAAGCACCUGAAAUAAAAAUGCGAAGUAUAGAAAAUAAAAGUUCCGAAAGUAGAAAUGCAGAACCCUUAGCGUCUCAGAUAUAUAUCGUUUUAAAAUUGAAAAGGUUGACAGAUUCAAUGAACUUGCAUCGUUCGACGAUCCUUCGAUUUGUACCGUGAAGAACCAGUUUUAAAAUAGCGAAAAGGAUAAGAGGGUGGAAGUAGUGAAGUAAGAAGGAGUAAAAAGACUUGCCGCAGCGGCCGCUGUCGUUGACUCCGAUAAAAAUUGUCUUUUUUGUAAAAACAUCACGAUUUAUUACGGCGCCUACUGCUCGUCACCGAUCGAAAACCUGCUCCGGCAAAAAGCGAAUGAAAAACGAGAUCAAUAGCCGGCCACGUCUCGCUAAUCCGGAGUGAGCUCGCGUUUCGUUUUCUUCUUUCGGAUGAUCACGCCGGCGAGUGGUCGGUUAACGCGCGAAAUGGAACGGGUAAACUGUUCUGGACGUUGCUGCACCUUUUCCAGGUGAAUAUUAAUUUUUUAUACAAUCAUUGGAUUCGCGUCAAUAGUCACGAUAGCGGUGAAAUAACGCUGAGAGAGCAGAAAUUGUAUUUUUCGUGAUCCUUUGUUUUUACACGUGUACGUAUGUUUCAGAAACUUGUAACUCUGUAAUAUCGGAUGAUUAAAUUCAUCGAUGUCUAAAUCUUCAGAUAAUGUUUUAACUUCUUCUAGUUGUCGAUUAUGUUAUUCGUUAUCUGGGAAAAUUGACGACAGACUGUUUGCUAAGAAACAAUAUCGCGCAGUUUUCAUAAACGUAGAACUUUAGAUUCCUAAAAUUAAAUUUUAAUUAAACUUUCAUUACAAAGAAUGCAGCAAUUUAAGAAAAUAUGAAUCGAAUCUGCUGUAUUCAAUUUUCUAAUACAUAGUAGAAAUUCAGUUUCACUUUAUCUCAAGAACAGAAAAUGUCCAAAUGUCAGAUUUUCAUUUUACAUUUGCUAUGGUUACAUUUUAUCUCAGAUUUCUAAUAACGAAACUUGCAAAUUAGGAUUUAUCAGGACUUAUAAAACUUCCGCAGGGGAAACAAACGAUUUGUACGUCGUGCUCGAAUCACUAUUAUCGUUCUGUCAUGCCCUAUCGCAGGGAUUACUGGUGCUGACUGUUACUUGUCUACUUUAUUGCCUACUGUGCCGCUGUGCUAGCACUAUAAUAUGCUAAUAGAGGGAUGCUAGCCUCCCCCUGUAACGACGUAUCCUGUUUACGAGAACCGACCCCAUGCGUCCCUUUCGCGUUCGCAAGAACGUUACAAAGAUCUUAGGAAGACUCGUAUGAACAGUGGUUAGUAUGCUCGUGUAUCGACAGGAAAUAUCUAUUACAGGGGAUGAAGUCAAAGAUGUAUGAAUUGACGAACAUUUAGAACGUCAUAUUUCAUUACAAGUUGGCAUUCUACCUAUUACUUUGAUAAUUCAUAGCACUUUUCGUGACUGCAAAUUCCACGCAAGUUUUACUAUUACAUACUCUUCUUUGCUCUUUGUACUUUCCUCUGUUUACUUUUUUUUUACAGAUUCCUUGUGAUUCUUUCCUUAAAUAUAAGAUUUUUCUAUACAUUUCUUUCUUUCUUUAAAUUGUUCGCCUCUUCCUUAAAUAGAAAUUUCUCUAGAGAUUUCAUUGCGCCGAGAGUAAUUCGCAAUUAAAUCGUCACCUCGUCGACCACUCUUGCUUUCAAUUUACAAUGGAAAAUAAUCGGAAAAAGGAGACCCAGCACCGAAGAUAAAAACAAAACUGUGAAAA